AUGCAUGCUUUUACAGUAUGGAAAUUGGUGAUUUAUAAUAACUUGGCAAAUCGCAAAGUGAAAACAGGCGAUAAAUCAUUCAAGUUUCUGACCUAUCAGCUUUCGACGGUAUGGUAUUGGCUUACCGUGGCAGUGACGGUUAACGGGGGAUUAGGGUUCGAUUCCGGAGAGGGAGCCUGAGAAACGGCUACCACAUCUAAGGAAGGCAGCAGGCGCGCAAAUUACCCAAUUCUAACAGUUUGAGAGAGGUAGUAACAAGAAAUAACAAUACAAGGCAAUUAAAAUGCUUUGUAAUUGGAAUGAUAGAAAUUUAAACCCUUUUUAAAGUAUCAAUUGGAGGGCAAGUCUGGUGCCAGCAGCCGCGGUAAUUCCAGCUCCAAUAGCGUAUAUUAAAAUUGUUGCAGUUAAAAAGCUCGUAGUUGAAGUUCUGCUAAAAGUAACCGGUCUGCUUUUAAUAAAAGUGGUAUCUUGGUGUGUAUUUAGCAAUGAUGUCCUUUGAAGUGUUUUUUACUUUAUUGUAAUAAAGCAUAUUCAGGACUUUUACUUUGAGAAAAUUAGAGUGUUUCUAGCAGGCCGACGCUUUGAAUACUGCAGCAUGGAAUAAUAAGAA
rnacentral:rRNA from 1 species